rnacentral:lncRNA from 1 species
GCGUGGUGGCACACACCUUUAAUCCCAGCACUCGGGAGGCAGAGGCAGGCAGAUUUCUGAGUCUACAAAGGACAGCCAAGGCUAUACAGAGAAACCCUGUUUCGAAAAACCAAAAUAAAUAAAUAAAUAAAUAAAUAAAUAAAUAAAUAAAUAAAUAAUACUGUGUAGCAGUCAUUGUGAGGAUAAGACACAGCCCUGCUUUUCAUGUCACCUCUUUGGUGACUGAGGCCAGGGUUAGUAUUUAUGGAUCACAAGCUGCUUUUAAUAGGCCCCCUUUGCCUUAAUCCUUUGCCUUGAUCUGGCAGAUAGUCUUGCUGGGGCUGGUGUUUCUUUACCGGGUCUAUUUACUGUGCCUUAUCAUAUUGUGUCUGACCAUCCUCCUCCUUUGAUUUCUAAGUUACUAUAUUUGAAAAAGCUUUCCUAGUCAGUGUUAUGAAACUCUUUUAAGAUGUUACUUAGCCUUUUUUUAUUUUGUUUUUUAAUUAAGAACUUUCAACCACAUAGGUGUUCUUUCAUAGUAUCUUCAAAAUGGAUAGCCAAUUUAAAUUUAGUUAUUUUGUUCAAAUACGAGGCUUUAUUUCUUAAUAGAUACCAUAUAUAUGACUCUGUAAGAAACUCAAUUUCAUUCCAUUGUUGCGGGAAAAUAUGAAAAAAGACCAGCAGGCUUCCCUCACUACUGCCAGCAACUCUCUACCCCAGCAAUGUCUAUUCUCUGCCUGCCAACUCUAUGGCUGGGGUGGAGCUCCCGAGUUCCCUUGGCUGCCAUGCCAGCCCUAUGCAACGACUAUCCAUCCUGCAGUCAGCCGCUACAACUCUGCUGACUCUCUCUCUAGCUAGCUCACUCAGCAACUGGUUGCUGUGUUCCCAGCUAUGGUUCGCUUGCCCCUGGCUCCACUGGUUCCUUCUCAGCCAUAAACCCCUGUAAUCGGCGGUCCCACAUUCUGAUAACCAAUUAAAUCAAAACUCUUGAAGGUUAUAAUUAACUAAUCAGAUUUUUAUUAUCAAUAAAGUCACAAGAUGUGAAUACAGUAAUUUCAGAACCAGUUGAUAAUGAUAAAGCUGCCCACCUAGACUAUUCUAACCUGUAUGCUACCAUGAUUACCUGUGCCUAUUUAAAGCCAUGCUGGUUCAGGUUCUUCGUCCUGUUCCUCUGCCUCCAUCUUGGCUUCUCCUCUCUCUGUCUCUGCAACUCUUAGCUCCUCCUCCCUUUUCCCUGUCCAAUCACAGGCCUCCUGCUGCACUAAUAUUUUAAUGUAAUUGGACAGGGAAAAUCCUGUCACGUCCCAUUGAUUUCCUUUUGCUACCACUUUGUAUGUUUCCUUCUGUAAGAAGAGUCUACCCUAAGCUUUCUAAUACUCCCAAAUGGUCUUAGUUUAGCUUUUAUAAAGUUGACCUAUAAAUCCUCGCAAUUAUGGAUACAUUGAGUGUGUGAUUUCUUACUCAUGCCAAACAGGGUGCAUGGAUCUGUCAGAUCUAGCUAGUAAACACAGAGAGGCCUAAGGUUGUAGGGAAAGAUGCAAGGAUGUAUUUUAUAUAAGUUACCUGUGUUGUGUUUGUAUAGGAAUGCUCACUGAAUGUUUGCUGAAUACAGCUUGAAGCAUACUCAUACCUUCACACACAUUUCAUGUGUUAUUUCAUUCAUUAGCAUUAAACUGUCCCUAUUUUUAAAGUCAGCAGCCUACAACUCUCUUCCCUUCGCAUCUACAGGUCUCCACAGCUAAUAAAUACUAGUAUCUGGUUUCUAACAGAAGUCUUUAAAUUACUCUGCUGAAACCUGAGUUCCUGAUGCACCUCCCCAGCCUGGUGCGUUCCUUACAAUUUUCCUCUUUUGUAGUUGGUGAGAAUCAAACUCCUGGCUUGUGCCUGUCGUUCUGUUUACACAGCUGCUGGCUCAGUUCGGAAUCUGUGUUCCCACUACUCCCCUUCUACUUUCUACCUCCAGUCUCUCCCGGGUCAGGAUAGGAGCUGGCUGGCCUGGCUGAUUCCGUCCCCAACUGCACACUCCUGCUACAGCCUCCGAAUCCAGAAGUGAUCCGAAGCUUUUCAGAAUCAAUCCAGCUACAUCAUUUUAUAGCCCCGCCCAUCCUGCCCCUCUAAUUGGGCCAGAGAUAAGACAGUGGUACAUGGGCUUUCACACUCGCUGAAAACUUGUUACUUAUGCCCACUUCACAGCUUUUCUUACUGUAAAGUUACUAUGACAAAACCGCCAUUUUUGGAAAUUGAUUCAUGCUAGACUACGUUUUGUUACCUAGAUUUAAAUUAAAUUAAAUUCAUU